rnacentral:rRNA from 1 species
GAUGGACGCUAGCUACAGGCUUAACACAUGCAAGUCGAGGGGAAACGACAUCGAAAGCUUGCUUUUGAUGGGCGUCGACCGGCGCACGGGGUGAGUAACGCGUAUCCAACCUGCCCACCACUUGGGGAUAACCUUGCGAAAGUAAGACUAAUACCCAAUGACGUCUCUAGAAGACAUCUGAAAGAGAUUAAAGAUUUAUCGGUGAUGGAUGGGGAUGCGUCUGAUUAGCUUGUUGGCGGGGUAACGGCCCACCAAGGCGACGAUCAGUAGGGGUUCUGAGAGGAAGGUCCCCCCACAUUGGAACUGAGACACGGUCCAAACUCCUACGGGAGGCAGCAGUGAGGAAUAUUGGUCAAUGGGCGAGAGCCUGAACCAGCCAAGUAGCGUGCAGGAUGACGGCCCCUAUGGGUUGUAAACUGCUUUUAUAAGGGAAUAAAGUGGGUCUCGUGAGACUUUUUGCAUGUACCUUAUGAAUAAGGACCGGCUAAUUCCGUG